AACGACGCUGGCGGCGUGGCUAAGACAUGCAAGUCGAACGGACCAUCUAAUUGGGUAACCGAGAGGAUGGUUAGUGGCGAAAGGGUGCGGAAUGGUUAGGUAACGUACCCCGCACUCCGGGAUAGCGUCCUGAAAGGGACGAUAAUACCGGAUGAUAUCACGGGUUGUAAGGCCGGUGAUCAAAGAUUUAUCGGUGCGGGAGCGGCCUAACUCCUAUCAGCUAGUUGGCGGGGUAAUGGCCCACCAAGGCGACGACGGGUAGCGGGACUGAGAGGUUGGCCCGCCACAUCGGGACUGAGACACUGCCCGGACCUCCACGGAGGGCUGCAGUAACGAAUAUUGGGCAAUGGGCGAAAGCCUGACCCAGCGACGCCGCGUGCAGGAUGAAGCCCCUCGGGGUGUAAACUGCUGUCAGAGACUAGAAAGCUUCGGUUGAUCAGUCUCAGAGGAAGUCACGGCUAACUUCGUG
rnacentral:rRNA from 1 species